rnacentral:lncRNA from 1 species
GCCCAGCCCAGGCCUGCACCCUAGGCAGGCACUGCUCCCUGAUCCAGGAACCACCUCUCUCUACAGCUGGGAGUGAGCAGCCAGAGAGGGAGAGAGCCUUGCCCGGUGCUACCCAGCAAGCUAGUCACCGAGUGGGCAGAGGGAGGAGCAGCCCUCACUGGGUGUCAAGCAGCCUGGGUCCCUAGUCCAGCUCUGCCUGUCCCUAGCAAUAAAGCCUCAGAUGGGGAAACUGAAGCCCAACAUCACGGAGGUAGGAAGGGGCAGACGUAGACUUGGAAGGAUUCUGUGGCCUGUUCGAGGUUCCGUGCAUGAGCCGUGCUCCGUGGAGAGCCAGGUCUGCCAUUCCAGCCUUUGCUCUCCCAGGCCCCUGGCUGUCCAUGUCCCACACCAUCCUGACACCUGACACUCGACACCCGUGUCACCAACAGCUACAGUGCACCACGGCCUUGGGACACCGCGCUCAGUGCUCUGCCUGGAUGAGCCCUGUAUCCCCAUGACGACCCCACUGUGGACAUUCUUAUGUGCGUUUUACAGAUGACGCAACUGAGACGGGCGGAUGCAGUGUUGUGUACAAGCCACACAGCUGGAAACGUGGGCUGGGGACUGGAACCCAAUUACCUGCUUUGGCUCUAUAAUCCUCUUUUUAUUUUUAUUUAAUUUUUUUAUGAGAUGGAGUGUCGCUCUGUCACACAGGCUGGAGUGCAGUGACACGAUCUCGGCUCACUGCAACCUCCGCCUCUCGGGUUCAACCCAUUCUCGUGUCUCAGCCUCCCAAGAAGCUGGGAUUACAGUUGUGUAUCACCACGCCUGGCUAACUUUUUGUAUUUUUAGUAGAGAUGUGGUUUCAUCAUGUUGGUCAGGCUGGUCUCGGAUUCCUGACCUCAGGUGAUCUGCCCACCUCUACCUCCCAAAGUGCUGGGAUUACAGGCAUGAGCCACUGCGCCCAGCCCUUUAAUCCUCUUUUUAAAACACCUUAGGAUAUGAUAUAUCCAGAACAGGCAAAUCCAUAGACACAGAAUGCAGAUCAGUGUUGCCAGGGGUGGGGGGUGAAGAGGAACUGCUGAAUGAGCAGGCGUUUCUUCCUGGGGUGACCAGCAUGUUCUGCGACUGCAGAUGAUGGCUGCUCCACCUUGUAAGCGUAGUACAUGCCGCCGAACGGUACACUUUAAACUGGUUGAUUUUAUGUUAUGUGAAUUUCCCUUCCAUACAUUAUCUGAGGCUGGGCACGGUGGCUCACACCUGUUAUCCCAACACUUCUGGAGGCCGAGAUGGGUGGAUCAUCUGAGGUCAGGAGUUCGAGACCAGCCUGACCAACAUGGUGAAACCCCAUCUCUACUAAAAAUUCAAAAAAAUUAGCUGGGUGUGGUGGUGCAUGCCUGUAAUCCCAGCUACUCAGCAGGCUGAGGCAGGAUAAUCUCUUGAAUCCGGGAGGCAGAGGUUGCAGUGAGCCUAGAUCGUGCCAUUGUACUCCUGCCUGGGCGACAGAGCAAGACUUCGCCUCAAAAAUAAAAAAUAAAAAAUAAAUUAUUUGGAAAAAAAA